rnacentral:rRNA from 1 species
UAGGGAAUUUCGUCAAUGGGCGCAAGCCUGAACGAGCAAUGCCGCGUGAACGAGGAAGGUCUUCGGAUCGUAAAAGUUCUGUUGAGAGGGAAAAAGGGUCACCAGAGGAAAUGCUGGUGAAGUGAUAUUACCUUUCGAGGAAGUCACGGCUAACUACGUGCC